CCUACGGGUGACAGCAGUGGGGAAUAUUGGACAAUGGGGGGAACCCUGAUCCAGCGACGCCGCGUGAGUGAAGAAGUAUUUCGGUAUGUAAAGCUCUAUCAGCAGGGAAGAAAAUGACGGUACCUGACUAAGAAGCCCCGGCUAACUACGUGCCAGCAGCCGCGGGAAUACGUAGGGAGCAAGCGUUAUCCGGAUUUACUGGGUGUAAAGGGGGCGUAGACGGUGCAGCAAGUCUGAUGUGAAAGGUCGGGGCCCAACCCCGGGACUGCAUUGGAAACUGUUGAACUGGAGUACAGGAGAGGUAAGCGGAAUUCCCAGUGUAGCGGUGAAAUGCGUAGAUAUUAGGAGGAACACCAGUGGCGAAGGCGGCUUACUGGAUUGUAACUGACGUUGAGGCUCGAAAGCGUGGGGAGCAAACAGGAUUAGAUACCCUGGUAGUC
rnacentral:rRNA from 1 species